CUAAUUCUCACAACCAUAUUUUUUUAAAUUGUGGUAAAAUAUACGUAACAUAAAAUGUUGUACUUUAAUAAUUGUUAACUGUGCAAUUCAGUGACACAGUGUUGUGCAGCAUCUCCACUCUCUACUUCUAAUCACAACCAUAAUUUGAGGUGGGCAUUUAUAUCCUCAUUUCACCAAAAAGGAAACUGAUCCUCAGAGAGGUGCAUCACCCAAAGCAGCCCACAAGUCAGUGGUACAGUCAGGAUUUAAGCCCAAGUCUGCCAAUUGCAAAGCUCAUAUUUUUUUUCUACUUUACUACAGUGCCAAAAUAAAUAAUCAAGCAAGAAAACACAAAACCUUGGUCAAAUUACCAGCACAGGGUCCACAAUACAGAGAGGAGCAGAUCCAGCAAGCAAAAAACAAGUUCCAAGGCUGUCUUGAAAUGGGAGAGGGGAAGUUAUGAGAAUGGACUGGGUAAGACUCCCUGAUGUUUGCAUACCCCUAAACUUGACUCAUUUGAGAAGACCCUGAUGCUGGGAAAGAUUGAAGGCUAGAGGAAAAGGGGACAACAGAGUAUGAGAUGGUUGGAUGGCAUCACCGACUCAAUGGACAUGAGUGUAAGUAAACUCCAGGAGUUGGUGAUGGACAGGGAAGCCUGGUGUGCUGCAGUCGCAAAGAGUCAGAUACAACUCAGCGACUGAACUGAACUUGACCUUCACAUCAAGGCCCCUUCUCCAUCUGUGAGUAAACAAAAACACUAACAUUUUCUCAACAAUUGUAUUAUAAAUAAAUCUGAAUGCUGAUAUUAAUGAUUCACUGCACACUUAAUUGGAACAGAUAGUGGCAGGAACCCCCCAGAGCCGUCACUUGACAUAGUUGACACAUGCAUGAGGCUUCACUCUUCUCCCUCUAGAGCAGCAUUUGGAGAGUGAACGUCCAUCAUAUGAAUGUAUAAUUUGUUUGGCAAUAUAGUUUUUUUGUAAAAUAAAACAGAAAACUGAAUUUUUUCUCCUUUAGAAAAAGUUUGCUUUGUAUUUUUUUUCUAGUGGAUUUAUUUCUUUA
ensembl:lncRNA